GUCCACGCCGUAAACGAUGAGUGCUUGGUGUAGCGGGUAUCGACCCCUGCUGUGCCGAAGUCAACACAUUAAGCACUCCGCCUGGGGAGUACGGUCGCAAGACUGAAACUCAAAGGAAUUGACGGGGGCCCCGCACAAGCGGUGGAGCAUGUGGUUUAAUUCGAAGCAACGCGCAGAACCUUACCUGGGUUUGAACUUCAGAGGAAAGGGUCAGAGAUGACUUCCUCCCUUCGGGGAUCUCUGGAGAGGUGCUGCAUGGCUGUCGU
rnacentral:rRNA from 1 species